AUUAAUAAAAUUUACAUUUUUUUAAUUUUUUUUUUUUUUUGAAAACGAUGUCGAUGGCAGAUUUCUGGUUGGCAGAAGAGACGGAUGCCUUAACGUUUUCUAUGGCGAAUGAAAAGGUUUAAAAAUAAGUUUGAAACGCCGGGAUCGAUUUUAAGAUAUAAUUGUUAGAAAUGCGAACACGAAGAAAGGCUGUUUUGGUAAUGAACUUCCCUCCUCAGUCAGUGCAGAGCAGAGGAAGUGGAAAACUAAUAAGGCCAGUUUUGGAGGAUUCCAGCUUCCGACCGCGAACACUGAAAUAUCAGGAGUCCAUUGAAACGCAACCGGAAGUGCCAAAAAUGCCUCGUUAUCAUCCACUAACGAUUAUUGCAGCCCAAACCGCUUAUCGCGAGGGGGAGCGGGGCUAGAAAUCGCCAAACAAGAGCUGGAACUGCAGUUAUUAGGUAUCAGGAGCUGGCUCCGGAUGAGGUGGGGGAGAACCUUUCUCCCGACGCAAAGGAAAUUAAUGAAAUUAUUAAAUUAAUUACCUAAUGCAGAUUUCUCUCCUCCUCCACUAUCUGCUCGCCUGUCCGAAAGGGUGGCUGCGUUCGCUCGCCUCUUGGACCAAUUUCCUGGCGUAUUGCAGCGCCAUCUACUCCCCGUCUGCUGUAAUUAAGGGAGAGAGAUCCCUACUACACACCUGUUGUGUACAGGUAGCUUUAGCUUGCACCCAACCCACUCCAUUGCUCUUCGAUACUCAUAAAAAUUUAAGAUUUUUCUACCGUAACCGCCUAGUUGGCCAUCCAGAAACAAAUUUAUUUUGCCCCUUCUGUCUUAGCCGCUUUCAUGUAGGAAUUUUAAAUCUGGGAACCAACGACAGGUUUGCCAUUGGAUGGCAGAUUUACAUUCCUGGGUGAAAGCGGAUCUGCGAGAUCGAAACGUCUCAAUCUAAAAUGUGAACGACAGCAAUAAUUUGUAAGCUAAUAGAAGUGUUCUAAGAAGAGAGCCGAAAAGAAAGUACACUUAAUGUUUGGACAAUUAUUGUUCGAUAUGCGUUGUGCACUUUCAGAUGCCAUAAAAAAAGGAAAACACUUAAGCCGAGACGAUUAUAGCCGAGAUUCUCGGACUGGGCGUGCACAAGAGAGCCGGGCUUUCUCUCAUCGAAGGCGGGAUGGUACACGCGCCCCGCUCACCGAGUCACGAGUCUCAGCAGAUGUUGAGUCCACCGUUCCCUUAUCUAGAGAGCGAGAGGCGGGAGUCGGCCAGUGAGCUCGUGACCCAAACACCGAUGCAUUCAAUAGAGCCCGUCCACCAGACAUAACUAAUGGAUGACAGCUGGGGGAGGGUGGAAAUCGUGAGUGUUCCUCUGAGGGGAUGGGGAACUCAGGUCCGGCUUACCCAUCCCGGAUCGGCCGAUAGUAUCGUCCGGCAAACCGGAAUCGUCGACGAAUAUCUUAAUUCCGUCGAAACAAUGGAAACACUGAACUAGGAGGGGGCAUGGUCGGCUUUGGGGAUGCCCCCGCAGCACGCACUGCGUGCAUUAUUGUCUCCGUGACUAGAGAUCUCCGAUCUAUCAUAAGGCAAACAUCUCUCUGAUAGAGCUGUAGAGCUGGUGUAUAUAUAGCCCCAUUCGAUAUCUUCAAACCGAGAGUUUUGUCGGCCAUGAAUAUGGAAAGAGUUUCUACCGUAUUACAAAUUCAUUACCAUAGCCUACAUUUAUUUAUUUUUUUGUUUUUUUUUUAUUUUUUUAAAUGUAUUUUUUUUUUUUUUUAUAAUUGUUUUAUUAAUCUUUUUUUAUUUAU
rnacentral:lncRNA from 1 species